AGAGUUUGAUCCUGGCUCAGGACGAACGCUGGCGGCGUGCUUAACACAUGCAAGUCGAGCGAUGAAGCUUCCUUCGGGGAGUGGAUUAGCGGCGGACGGGUGAGUAACACGUGGGUAACCUGCCUCAAAGUGGGGGAUAGCCUUCCGAAAGGAAGAUUAAUACCGCAUAAUAUAAGAGAAUCGCAUGAUUUUCUUAUCAAAGAUUUAUUGUUUUGAGAUGGACCCGCGGCGCAUUAGCUAGUUGGUAAGGUAACGGCUUACCAAGGCAACGAUGCGUAGCCGACCUGAGAGGGUGAUCGGCCACAUUGGAACUGAGACACGGUCCAGACUCCUACGGGAGGCAGCAGUGGGGAAUAUUGCGCAAUGGGGGAAACCCUGACGCAGCAACGCCGCGUGGGUGAUGAAGGUCUUCGGAUUGUAAAGCCCUGUUUUCUAGGACGAUAAUGACGGUACUAGAGGAGGAAGCCACGGCUAACUACGUGCCAGCAGCCGCGGUAAUACGUAGGUGGCGAGCGUUGUCCGGAUUUACUGGGCGUAAAGGGUGCGUAGGCGGAUGUUUAAGUGGGAUGUGAAAUCCCCGGGCUUAACCUGGGGGCUGCAUUCCAAACUGGAUAUCUAGAGUGCAGGAGAGGAAAGCGGAAUUCCUAGUGUAGCGGUGAAAUGCGUAGAGAUUAGGAAGAACACCAGUGGCGAAGGCGGCUUUCUGGACUGUAACUGACGCUGAGGCACGAAAGCGUGGGUAGCAAACAGGAUUAGAUACCCUGGUAGUCCACGCCGUAAACGAUGGAUACUAGGUGUAGGGGUAUCAACUCCCCCUGUGCCGCAGUUAACACAAUAAGUAUCCCGCCUGGGGAGUACGGUCGCAAGAUUAAAACUCAAAGGAAUUGACGGGGGCCCGCACAAGCAGCGGAGCAUGUGGUUUAAUUCGAAGCAACGCGAAGAACCUUACCUGGACUUGACAUCCCUUGCAUAGCCUAGAGAUAGGUGAAGCCCUUCGGGGCAAGGAGACAGGUGGUGCAUGGUUGUCGUCAGCUCGUGUCGUGAGAUGUUAGGUUAAGUCCUGCAACGAGCGCAACCCUUGUUAUUAGUUGCUACCAUUAAGUUGAGCACUCUAAUGAGACUGCCUGGGUAACCAGGAGGAAGGUGGGGAUGACGUCAAAUCAUCAUGCCCCUUAUGUCCAGGGCUACACACGUGCUACAAUGGUAGGUACAAUAAGACGCAAGACCGUGAGGUGGAGCAAAACUUAUAAAACCUAUCUCAGUUCGGAUUGUAGGCUGCAACUCGCCUACAUGAAGCUGGAGUUGCUAGUAAUCGCGAAUCAGAAUGUCGCGGUGAAUACGUUCCCGGGCCUUGUACACACCGCCCGUCACACCAUGAGAGCUGGUAACACCCGAAGUCCGUGAGGUAACCGUAAGGAGCCAGCGGCCGAAGGUGGGAUUAGUGAUUGGGGUGAAGUCGUAACAAGGUAGCCGUAGGAGAACCUGCGGCUGGAUCACCU
rnacentral:rRNA from 1 species